rnacentral:rRNA from 1 species
CCUACGGGAGGCUGCAGUGAGGAAUAUUGGUCAAUGGACGCAAGUCUGAACCAGCCAUGCCGCGUGCAGGAAGACGGCUCUAUGAGUUGUAAACUUCUUUUGUACGAGGGUAAACGCAGGUACGCGUAUCUGUCUGAAAGUAUCUUACGAAUAAGGAUCGGCUAACUCCGUGCCAGCAGCCGCGGUAAUACGGAGGAUUCAAGCGUUAUCCGGAUUUAUUGGGUUUAAAGGGUGCGUAGGCGGUCGGGUAAGUUAGAGGUGAAAUCCCGGGGCUCAACCUCGGAAGUGCCUCUGAAACUGGUCGGCUAGAGAGUAGUUGAGGUAGGCGGAAUGUGUGGUGUAGCGGUGAAAUGCUUAGAGAUCAUACAGAACACCGAUUGCGAAGGCAGCUUACCAAGCUAUUUCUGACGUUGAGGCACGAAAGCGUGGGGAGCAAACAGGAUUAGAUACCCCUGUAGUC